rfam:Hydnomerulius pinastri MD-312 unplaced genomic scaffold scaffold_56, whole genome shotgun sequence.
CUUGCUCGCAACCAAGCUGGGGAUUGUCCUCGGACGAUUUCUGGCAGGGGAGCUUGCGAGUGGACGGCCUUGGCUUGUCUUUCGGGGCAGUUCCGAUGCACGCUUAACAACCGACUUAGAACUGGUGCGGACAAGGGGAAUCUGACUGUCUAAUUAAAACAUAGCAUUGCGAUGGCCAGAAAGUGGUGUUGACGCAAUGUGAUUUCUGCCCAGUGCUCUGAAUGUCAAAGUGAAGAAAUUCAACCAAGCGCGUGUGCAGAUCACUUGAAUGGGAACGGGGUACUGUACGGAAAGUGGACCCAAUUUCAUUAGGAAAGUGUAAUGAAAAAGUGUAGUGAAAAGUGUAGCCAAAGUGUAGGAAACUGGACGCAAUUUUCAUUA